rnacentral:lncRNA from 1 species
UCUCUUCUAUACUCCCUCUGCUUCUUCCUCUUCUUCUAAAGCUCUUGUUUCUGCUCAAACUAACAAGAGACCUGAAUGUAAUUCUUGAUAUAAUCUCAUAACUUGAUACAAUUUUCCAUUUUUGAAAUGUACUUGAAUUCAAUGACUCAUGCACCUCUCUUUCCUCUAUUUUUUGUUUAUAUUUUCUUUUUCUUUUUUGGUUCCACUCUGUGCUAGGUGACCUUCAGACUUACUCUGCUUAUGGUUUGGCCUUAAAAACGAGCUUACCAGAUGUCGCUCUAUGGUGUGAUGUGCAAUUAGGGGUGGUAAUAGGUCAGACUUUGAAAGGUCUGAGUCUGGCAUACGGAUUUCAGUCGAUUUUUGUCGGGUGGUAUGAAAAUUCCCCGAAAAGUCCAGAUGAAAUCGAGGACCGCAAGUCCUUAUAUCAUUCUUCUCCUAAACUUAUAACUGUGUUUCGGGUUGUGCAUCAGAUUUCAAAGACUUUCCAUCGUCCUGUCCAAAAAUACAGAUAGCGGUCCAUUUUUGUCGGGUAAUCUCCCGAAGAGUCCAGAUGAAAUUGAGGACCAGGAGACUCUUAUAGCAUUGUUAUCCUAAAUUUAUAAUUGUGUUUCGGGUUUCAGGUUAGAUUUCAAAUACUAGGCAUCUUCUGGUCCGAAAAUAUAGAUUUAUGUCCGUUUUUGUUGGGUGGUAGAAAAAUUGCCCGAAAAGUCCAGAAGAAAUCGAGGAUCGGGACACCCAUAUAACAUUCUUCUCCUAAAUUUAUAACUGUAUUUCGGAAUCCGCGUCAGAUUUCAAACAGUUGCCAUCGCCUGGUCCGAAAAUACGGAUUUCAUUCCAUUUUUGUCUAGUGGUACGAAAAUCGUCCGAAAAGUCUAGACGAAAUUGAGGACCGAGAGACCCUUAUAGCAUUCUUCUCCUAUAUUUAUAAUUGUGUUUUGGGUUCCGCGUCAGAUUUCAAACAUUAGCUAUCGUCUGAUCCGAAAAUACGGAUUACUGUCCAUUUUUGUCGAGGCUACGAAAAUUGCCCUAAAAGUCUAGAUAACAUCGAGGAACGGGAGACCCUUAUAGUAUUCUUCUCCUAAAUUUAUAAUUGUGUUUCGAGUAAGAUUUCAUGAAAGUAAGAGAAGAUCAAAAAUAGCUAUGUUGUUUUUCUUCUUGAAUUCAAUACCUUAUAUAUACAGUGGUUUGGUUGCUUCAUCACUUCACCAUUAACCGCCAAACUUGUUGGGAUGUGUAAACCACACGCUCUCUCUGCAAUACUCCCUGCUUCUAAAUUCUCUCUUUCUAGCUCUUGUUUCUGCUCAAACUAACAAGAGAUAUGAUUGGAAUACACUUACCGGUAGGUGUUAUUUUUUUCUUCUUUUUUGUGAUUUUUUCUUCACUUGCUUAUUGCAUAUUUAAGUAGAAGAAGAAUGUUUAUGAUUAUCAUUAUGAUUAGCUAUGAAGUGGAGGGUCUAAGCUUAGUUUAUAAUUAAACUUUGAUUUGUUAAUUUGGGCUUAGAAGGGAUUUGGCUUCUCAUAAAUGUUGCUUAAUUAAAUGGUUUACCACUAUGUUGAGAUGUUUAUGAAUAGAUUUAGAUAUACGACUCUUCAAUGCAAUAUAAGCAUAAUGAAUAUAUGAAAAACUGAUGUAUUUGGACCUGAAUGUAAUUCUUGAUAUAAUCUCAUAACUUGAUACAAUUUUCCAUUUUUGAAAUGUACUUGAAUUCAAUGACUCGUGCACCUCUCUUUGCUCUAUUUUUUGUUUAUAUAUUCUUUUUCUUUUUUGGUUCCACUCUGUGCUAGGUGGCCUUCAGACUUACUCUUGUUGAUUGUUUUGCAGGUAAUCCGCCGUUGGUCAUAGCACAUGGUGGUUUUUCGGGGAUAUUUCCAGAUUCGAGUGGUGCUGUUUAUGGUUUGGCCUUAGAAACAAGUUUACCGGAUGUCGCUCUAUGGUGUGAUGUGCAAUUGACAAAAGAUGCAGCUGGGAUUUGCCUUUCAAAUGUCAACCUUUUAAAUUCUAAUUACAUUUCAUUUGCUAUCCCAAAUUAAACUACGAAUUACUCAGUUAAUGGUGUAUCCACCCGUGGCUAUUUUUCGUGGAUUACACCUUGAAGGACUUAUCCAAUGUCUUCUGUAAGUUUCAGUCAUGAUAAAUAUGUAUUUUUAUUGAUGUAGAUUAUCGUUAUUUUGUGGAAUGAUUGAUUCUUUUGUAUGACAUACAUGUGUUUUAUGAUUUAAGGUAUUUUCUAUGUUUGGCAUACUAGUGAGUUUUGAAGUUAUUUAUUUCUAUGGUUUUUGACAUUUUUUCACUGUUGGUCAGUAUCUCAGGGAGUAUUUUCUCGGUCACCUCUACUUGAUGCCAAUGGUUAUCUAAUUCUUACUGUCAAUGAUGUAGUCAAAUCAGUGGCGCCACAAACACCAAGUCUGUGGUUGAAUAUUCAGGUUAAUGGAAUGUAUAAUUCAAUUCAUUCUCAUGAAAGUAAGAGAAGAUCAAAAAUAGCUAUGUUGUUUUUCUUCUUGAAUUCAAUACCUUAUAUAUACAGUGGUUUGGUUGCUUCAUCACUUCACCAUUAACCGCCAAACUUGUCGGGAUGUGUAAACCACGCGCUCUCGCUGCUAUACUCCCUCUGCUUCUUCCUUUUCUUCUAAAUUCUCUCUUUCUAGCUCUUGUUUUUGCUCAAACUAACAAGAGAUAUGAUUGGAAUACACUUGCCGGUAGGUGUUAUUUUUUUUCUUCUUCUUUUUUGUUAUUUUUUCUUCACUUGCUUAUUGCAUAUUUAAGUAGAAGAAGAAUGUUUAUGAUUAUCAUUAUGAUUAGCAAUGAAGUGGAGGGUCUUUGCUUAGUUUAUAAUUAAACUUUGAUUUGUUAAUUUGAGCUUAGAAGGGAUUUGGCUUCUCAUAAAUGUUGCUUAAUUAAAUGGUUUACCACUAUCUUAAGAUGUUUAUGAAUAGAUUUAGAUAUACGACUCUUCAAUGCAAUAUAAGAAAAAUGAAUAGAUGAAAAACUGAUGUUUUUGGACCUGAAUGUAAUUCUUGAUAUAAUCUCAUAACUUGAUACAAUUUUCCAUUUUUGAUAUGUACUUGAAGUCAAUGACUCAUGCACCUCUCUUUCCUCUAUUUUUUGUUUAUAUUUUCUUUUUCUUUUUUGGUUCCACUCUGUGCUAGGUGGCCUUCAGACUUACUCUUGUUGAUUGUUUUGCAGGUAAUCCGCCGUUGGUCAUAGCACAUGGUGGUUUUUCAGGGAUAUUUCCUGAUUCGAGUGGUGCUGCUUAUGGUUUGGCCUUAGAAACGAGCUUACCGGAUGUCGCUCUAUGGUGUGAUGUGCAAUUGACAAAAGAUGCAUCUGGGAUUUUCCUUCCAAAUGUCAACCUUUUAAAUUCUAAUUACAUUUCAUUUGCUAUCCCGAAUAAAACUACGAAUUACUCGGUUAAUGGUGUAUCCACCCGUGGCUAUUUUUCCGUGGAUUACACCUUGAAGGACUUAUCCAAUGUCUUAUGUAAGUUUCAGUCAUGAUAAAGAUGUAUUUUUAUUGAUGUAGAUUAUUGUUAUUUUGUGGAAUGAUUGAUUCUUUUGUAUGACAUAUAUGUGUUUUAUGAUUUAAGGUAUUUUCUAUGUUUGGCAUACUAGUGAGUUUUGAAGUUAUUUAUUUCUAUGGUUUUUGACAUUUUUUCACUGUUGGACAGUAUCUCAGGGAGUAUUUUCUCGGUCAACUCUACUUGAUGCCAAUGGUUAUCUAAUUCUUACUGUCAAUGAUGUAGUCAAAUCAGUGGCGCCACAAACACCAAGUCUGUGGUUGAAUAUUCAGGUUAAUGGAAUGUAUAAUUCAAUUCAUUCUCAUGAAAGUAAGAGAAGAUCAAAAAUAGCUAUGUUGUUUUUCUUCUUGAAUUCAAUACCUUAUAUAUACAGUGGUUUGGUUGCUUUAUCACUUCACCAUUAAACGCCAAACUUGUCGGGCCAAACUUGUCGGGAUGUGUAAACCACGCGCUCUCGCUGCUAUACUCCCUCUGCUUCUUCCUUUUCUUCUAAAUUCUCUCUUUCUAGCUCUUGUUUCUGCUCAAACUAACAAGAGAUAUGAUUGGAAUACACUUGCCGGUAGGUGUUAUUUUUUUUCUUCUUCUUUUUUGUUAUUUUUUCUUCACUUGCUUAUUGCAUAUUUAAGUAGAAGAAGAAUGUUUAUGAUUAUCAUUAUGAUUAGCUAUGAAGUGGAGGGUCUUAGCUUAGUUUAUAAUUAAACUUUGAUUUGUUAAUUUUAGCUUAGAAGGGAUUUGGCUUCUCAUAAAUGUUUCUUAAUUAAAUGGUUUACCACUAUGUUGAGAUGUUUAUGAAUAGAUUUAGAUAUACGACUCUUCAAUGCAAUAUAAGCAAAAUGAAUAUAUGAAAAACUGAUGUUUUUGGACCUGAAUGUAAUUCUUGAUAUAAUCUCAUAACUUGAUACAAUUUUCCAUUUUUGAAAUGUACUUGAAUUCAAUGAUUCAUGCACCUCUCUUUCCUUUAUUUUUUGUUUAUAUUUCCUUUUUCUUUUUUGGUUCCACUCUGUGCUAGGUGGCCUUCAGACUUACUCUUGUUGAUUGUUUUGCAGGUAAUCCGCCGUUGGUCAUAGCACAUGGUGGUUUUUCAGGGAUAUUUCCUGAUUCGAGUGGUGCUGCUUAUGGUUUGGCCUUAGAAACGAGCUUACCGGAUGUCGCUCUAUGGUGUGAUGUGCAAUUGACAAAAGAUGCAGCUGGGAUUUUCCUUCCAAAUGUCAACCUUUUAAAUUCUAAUUACAUUUCAUUUGCUAUCCCGAAUAAAACUACGAAUUACUCAGUUAAUGGUGUAUCCACCCGUGGCUAUUUUUCCAUGGAUUACACCUUGAAGGACUUAUCCAAUGUCUUCUGUAAGUUUCAGUCAUGAUAAAGAUGUAUUUUUAUUGAUGUAGAUUAUUGUUAUUUUGUGGAAUGAUUGAUUCUUUUGUAUGACAUAUAUGUGUUUUAUGAUUUAAGGUAUUUUCUAUGUUUGGCAUACUAGUGAGUUUUGAAGUUAUUUAUUUCUAUGGUUUUUGACAUUUUUUCAUUGCUGGACAGUAUCUCAGGGAGUAUUUUCUCGGUUAC